CAUGAAUGAAAAUUAUCCUUUAGUUUGAGUUAAUAUUUUCCUUUUUAUUUAUUGAACUGUUGUUUCUUCAGGGUCUGUUUCCAACAGCACCAAGGGUUUGAAUAGCGCUUCGAGGAGGCAGGGGGGUCGAAAAAUUCCUAAUUAAACGUUACGUAUUUUCUACAAUACCCCUCCCCCGGCGUACUCUGGAGUCGGUAAAUUGCGCCGAUUUUGGGGUAAAUUGCGCCGAUACAGAAAAAGACGAUUGGUAAAUUGCGCCGAAACUGAAAAUCGUAAAAAGUAAAUUGUGCGCCGAUCUGAUAAACGGAAAUGGUAAAUUGCGCCGAUCUGAAAAACGGAAACGGUAAAUUGCGCCGAUUCCAUCGUUUUUCAGGGGGUUUGGCAACACUGCCGAUCAGCUCGGAAUAAGUAAGUGAAACUAUAAGCUUACCAUCAUAUUAUUUCUUUGCUGAACUUAAGUGCGCAUGGUAUGAGGCUUUUUUGACGAAUUCGUACCGCGGCAGUUCACCUUUCCAAUACCGAUUGAGAAGGUCUUCAACUCUCUUCUGUUUUGCUUUCACGAUUUCUCUAGAUCGGCGCAAUUCUCAAUUACCCUUUUCCUAAAUCGGCGCAAUUUACCAGCUUCCGCGUACUCGUCGUCUUAGAUUUUACUCAUCCAUGAUCUUUCAGUUAUAUUAAUGAGUGCGAGGGCACAGUUCCCCGGGCUGAGGCUGCCGCAGGAAUGGGCCGCAGCCUCCCCUUUCCUCCCCCGCUCAUGACUCGAAGUUAAUGGCAUUCAGGAACGUCGCGGUGUGACGUCGUCGUGUGCCGUGCUGUUUGUCACCGCGUGGUUGACGUCCGGCUCUCCUCUUUUGGCCUCGGCCCGGUCCCGUGUCAACAUCCCAAGAGCGCAUAAUUUCACACCCACCCACCCCACGGCGCACAGCGGAUCGGGUCAAUGGGAGAGGUCGGACAAAGUAUUUCGAACUCAUAGGUGGGUAAUUUUAAGAUAAUUUUUCAAGAAAAUAGAAGGAAUUUCCGAGUUCCUCUGGAAGCAGAAACAGUCAGCGAAAGGAUGGUGGAGCCCUGAUUUUCCUGCAUGGAGUUGGAAAAACGAACAAUCGAUUUGGAAACUCUCAACGCCUUUUAUUUUUAAUUGAUAAACCACAUUCAGUCCUUGACUUACGCAUCUCAGUUACAAUUCUUCAUUAUCCUCAACAUUCCUACAUAAUUAUACAUACUACAAAAUACAAGUGAAAAAAGACAAAGAUAAACAGGUUGUUUAACGGCUUGACAGUGGGAGCCAGGAGCCAUCGGUAUCAUGAACACCCACUGUGAAGUGGUAGCACGCGAAGAUGCGUUUUGUUCAGUUUAAGUGGACCAUGGUUACUGCUUUGAUGCAACACCCCUGUACUGCCAUGCUAAGGAAAAACGCCGUACGAACCUUCAGGCGUUGCCAAAUUUCCUUUAAUAAAACGCAAAUUUCCUGGUAAACUUAUGAAUACCCUCCGUCCAAUUUUUCAGACAAUUUCAUUCGCAAUUUCUCGUAAAGACCCUGAAAUUGUCUAGGAAAAAUAUUUGUAUCUUUCCUCCAAAAUGAGCAUUUUACCGCGGGAUAUUUGGCAACUGUCGAAUGUUCAUACGGCGUUUUUCCUUAAGACGGCAGGGUAGCCAAGUCGAAGGGCUCUACCUUUCGCAGCCUCCUGCUGGGGUCGUUGCCGAGUGCUCGCUGAGCUAGCGGAUUAGGGUGUGCGCCCAGUCUCGUGUGGUGGCGCACUGCCGCUCUUUCAAUUACUUCUUUCACUGACUCAACUCUCAACUCCUCUCUGAUUUGCUCAUUUGUAACAAAGCAUGGGGCCCCGGCAAUCUGUCUCAAUACCUUGCUUCGGACCAGAACGAUGGCCGCGCCAGGUCGAGAAAUACGCUUGCAAAUGGCGGCCCUCCUUAACCGCCAUGCGAGCAAGUGGACUGCUAACAGAUCAACGGGGAACAGCUAAGUAGGAUGGAUAUUACACGGAAGAGAUCGAAAUACGUCACGCAAGCGUAAACAAAACAUGGCGCAGACACCGAAUGCGUAUCGCCAGGUGUUACAUCAGCAGAACAGGAAGAGCGGGAAAUUUGAAAUAUAUAGUGAUAGAAUGGGGAAAGUGACGACACGAGGGACCACUGGCCCUUUAAAUGGGGGACAGAAACCAUAAAAAAUGAGAGCAGAUAGGAGAGAAGGCUUCAUAUUAACGAGAGAACGAGCUGAAGAGUGAAAACUGGAACAUGAAACAGGUGAACAUGGAAAAUCCUGAAUUUGGCUAGGAUAGCUGUGCAUGACAUGA